AUAAUUUCUUACAGGGAGUUAUAUGCAAAUCACAUCAAUGGAACCAUUCCAAGAGAGCUCGGUAAACUAAGGAGACUCGUCAGUUUUGAUCUAUACCGGAAUCAUCUUUCAGGAACCAUACCAAAAUCUUUUGGACACUUAAAUUCCUUGAGAUUCUUGCGGGUAUCGCAAAAUAAUCUCGGUGGAGCUAUUCCAGCAUCUCUUGGAAACUUGACAUCUUUGGAAAUCUUAACUUUGAACAGUAACAAGUUUACUGGCAGUUUUCCGAUAACCGUUCUUUCGCUAAUUCUUCGCGGCAAUUUGAGGACUUUGGACUUCUCAGACAAUUUGUUGGCCGGGACCAUCCGCCGCGGCAAUUCAACUGGUCAAUUUUAUUUUACUUUACUACUAUUAUACAAGAUCCCAAAGCUCCAAAGCACUAGAUGCAAGAUAUUGAAGAACUACAGUCCCUCCUUCAUAGUUGAUAGAACA